GGGCGGGUUUGGUUAUGGCCUUCGUGAAUUUGAGAGGGCGACAGUUGGUUUCGUUGGCGAUCAUCGGCUUGAUGGAAGCAUUUUCCAUCGAAACGGCCUUUAUAAAGGAUUGGUUGGCAUGUGCUCUUAUUGGGAUUUCCAUCCUUCCUAACGCCCGUGUAUGCUAGAGUUGUGAAGCCUUCUGUAACGGUUGACGCUGGAUGGAUGAGUUUGUGGAAACUGUACCACGCAGUAAUGUGGAAAGUGACCCUGUAGAGUGUAUACCACGCAGUAAGCUGUAUCUGAAGUUUUCGCUACUGAUGUGGGAACUUGGGUAGGUGGUUCAACACGCGGACUGAACACCAAACCACGAAGGUGCUUAUCGACUGUUGAUGUUUAGACAUAUUUUGAACAGCAAUGUAGACCUAGUUCUUGUAAACCCUGCGUAAGAAUUAUAUUAAACUGCAUAUUCCAACUUUAAACAUACCCAGACAUAAUUUAAGAGUUGUACUAACUUUUACCCUUAAUGGGAUCCAUCUAAUAUAUACAGUGUUAUUUGAACAGCAAUGUAGCCCUAGUUCUUGCAUAACACGGCGUAAGAAUUAUUAAAGUGUUAUUCCCAACUUUCUAUAUAUAAAAAGACAAUUUGA